UACGUAGGGGGCAAGCGUUGUCCGGAAUUAUUGGGCGUAAAGAGCGUGUAGGCGGUUCGAUUAGUCUGCUGUAAAAGUCGGGGGCUCAACCCCCGAAAGCCGGUGGAUACUGUCGGGCUAGAGUACGGAAGAGGCGAGUGGAAUUCCUGGUGUAGCGGUGAAAUGCGCAGAUAUCAGGAGGAACACCAAUUGCGAAGGCAGCUCGCUGGGACGUAACUGACGCUGAGACGCGAAAGCGUGGGAAGCAAACAGG
rnacentral:rRNA from 1 species